rnacentral:rRNA from 1 species
GAUGAACGCUGGCGGCGUGCCUAAUACAUGCAAGUCGAGCGAACAGAUGAGGAGCUUGCUCCUCUGACGUUAGCGGCGGACGGGUGAGUAACACGUGGAUAACCUACCUAUAAGACUGGGAUAACUUCGGGAAACCGGAGCUAGUACCGGAUAAUAUAUUGAACCGCAUGGUUCAAUAGUGAAAGACGGUUUUGCUGUCACUUAUAGAUGGAUCCGCGCCGCAUUAGCUAGUUGGUAAGGUAACGGCUUACCAAGGCAACGAUGCGUAGCCGACCUGAGAGGGUGAUCGGCCACACUGGAACUGAGACACGGUCCAGACUCCUACGGGAGGCAGCAGUAGGGAAUCUUCCGCAAUGGGCGAAAGCUUGACGGAGCAACGCCGCGUGAGUGAUGAAGGUCUUCGGAUCGUAAAACUCUGUUAUUAGGGAAGAACAAAUGUGUAAGUAACUAUGCACGUCUUGACGGUACCUAAUCAGAAAGCCACGGCUAACUACGUG